AACGAACGCUGGCGGCGGGCCUAACACAUGCAAGUCGAACGAGCUGAGACCUUCGGGUCUCGAUGCUAGUGGCGCACGGGUGAGUAACGCGUGGGAACGUACCCUUUAGUACGGAAUAACCCAGGGAAACUUGGGCUAAUACCGUAUACGCCCUUCGGGGGAAAGAUUUAUCGCUAAAGGAUCGGCCCGCGUCUGAUUAGGUAGUUGGUGAGGUAACGGCUCACCAAGCCGACGAUCAGUAGCUGGUCUGAGAGGAUGAUCAGCCACACUGGGACUGGGACACGGCCCAGACUCCUACGGGAGGCAGCAGUGGGGAAUAUUGGACAAUGGGCGAAAGCCUGAUCCAGCCAUGCCGCGUGAGUGAAGAAGGCCUUCGGGUUGUAAAGCUCUUUCGACGGGGACGAUGAUGACGGUACCCGUAUAAGAAGCCCCGGCAAACUUCGUGCCAGCAGCCGCCGUAA
rnacentral:rRNA from 1 species